CCUACGUGAGGCAGCAGUGGGGAAUAUUGCGCAAUGGGCGAAAGCCUGACGCAGCGACGCCGCGUGAGGGAUGAAGGUCUUCGGAUCGUAAACCUCUGUCAGCAGGGAAGAACGGUCACUGUGCUAAUCAGCAGUGAAUUGACGGUACCUGCAAAGGAAGCACCGGCUAACUCCGUGCCAGCAGCCGCGGUAAUACGGAGGGUGCGAGCGUUAGUCGGAAUUACUGGGCGUAAAGCGCUCGUAGGCGGUAUGUCAAGUCAAGGGUGAAAUCCCCGCGCUCAACGUGGGAACUGCCUUUGAAACUGGCAAACUGGAGUGUGUGAGAGGAUAGUGGAAUUCCAGGUGUAGGAGUGAAAUCCGUAGAUAUCUGGAGGAACAUCAGUGGCGAAGGCGACUAUCUGGCACAUAACUGACGCUGAGGAGCGAAAGCGUGGGUAGCAAACAGGAUUAGAUACCCCAGUAGUC
rnacentral:rRNA from 1 species